AUAAUAAGUAACAAUAACCUUUGUAUAAGCCCGAUAAUAAGGUUUGGGUGUUUCUACCAUACUACCGUAAAUAGUAUAACUAUGAAGAAGUAAUCCACGAAG
rnacentral:ncRNA from 2 species